CCUACGGGAGGCAGCAGUGAGGAAUAUUGGUCAAUGGGCGGGAGCCUGAACCAGCCAAGUCGCGUGAAGGAAGAAGGUACUUAGUAUUGUAAACUUCUUUUGUCGAGGAACAAAGGCGGAGACGCGUCCCCGUUUGCGUGUACCUGAAGAAUAAGCAUCGGCUAACUCCGUGCCAGCAGCCGCGGUAAUACGGAGGAUGCGAGCGUUAUCCGGAUUUAUUGGGUUUAAAGGGAGCGCAGGCGGGAGAUUAAGUCAGCGGUAAAAUGUCGGGGCUCAACCCCGGACGGCCGUUGAAACUGGUUUUCUAGAGUUGGAUAGAGGUAUGCGGAAUUCGUGGUGUAGCGGUGAAAUGCAUAGAUAUCACGAAGAACUCCGAUUGCGAAGGCAGCAUAC
rnacentral:rRNA from 1 species